UGCUGGCAACACUUGACUCACUAAAACAGGAGGCAGUUACAAAAUUACAGUAGUACAGUACGUACUAGUUUAUAGAGUUAUGUUUUUGGGGGGGCUUUCACAUUUGUUGAUUUUUAUUGGCGAUCUCUUUUUCAAUACAAUUUAUGGCGUCAUCACCAUUUCCAGUCUGAUUAUACAAGUGCUAAGUGGCAGAAAGGUCUGGAAUAAAUACAUUUUUAAAAAAAGGCAAAGCUGUGAAACUAAGUUGCAUGCAACAGGUUCUAUGAGGGUGGGGGAAGUGUGUGAGAAAUAAAACAGAGUAAGACAAUGUAAUUGGAAGGUUUUAGCUAAAGUUCUUUUCAGUCAUCUUUGUCUUUUACUCCAUGUUUCAGGAUGCUUGUGAACUCGAUGUAAUUGAAAUUUCCCUUUUUGUCAAUAGGUGCUUCUCUGUGCAGCUCAUCCACUUCCUCAUCUGUAAACUGAUCCCCCAUGGUUGUAUGCAUCAGUGGGAUUCUUCCCUAGAGAAGCAAGCAUAUCAUGCAAAUCUUCCUUGUUGAUGAAACCAUCUCUGUUCUAAUCAAUCAUGUUGAAGGCCUCUUUGAACUCCUGAAUCUGUGACUGGUCAAACAUGGCAAACACAUUGGAUAUUGUGCACUGAGGGCAUUUCUUGGUGGUCUUCGUCUUUGCCUUUUUGCUCGACAUGGUGGUGGUUUAAUUCUGGCGCCAAACACCACAACUGGAGCCACCCUGUGCGAGAUGACGAGCGACAGUGAAGAGUGUGGGGCUGUGGCCGGACAGUGGCGGCUAUAGAGUUAUGAUUUAAUACUGCAUUUUAAAUUUGCUUACACGUACAGUCUGUGUUUUCAUAAAAUUUAACUUUUAAUUGAUUUGUGUGUUUUGUGGUAGUAAAUGAUAGACUUGUAUCUAUAUAUAUUUUUUGCAUUCAAGAUAUCUGUAGGCCACACAGUUCAUCUGUGAAUUUUUCUUUUUCUUUUUUUUUUUUUGAGACAGAGUUUUGCUUUUG
rnacentral:lncRNA from 10 species